rnacentral:rRNA from 1 species
UACGAAGGGGGCUAGCGUUGUUCGGAAUCACUGGGCGUAAAGGGCGCGUAGGCGGCCGAUUAAGUCGGGGGUGAAAGCCUGUGGCUCAACCACAGAAUUGCCUUCGAUACUGAUUGGCUUGAGACCGGAAGAGGUCAGUGGAACUGCGAGUGUAGAGGUGAAAUUCGUAGAUAUCGGGAGGAACACCAGUGGCGAAGGCGGCGAUCUGGGUCGAUACUGACGCUGAGGUGCGAAAGCGUGGGGAGCAAACAGG